GCCGGAGUGACUCGCCGAUGUCAUCGGACAGUUGCAUCGCUGUGUUGAGUCGAUCGGAAUCUGGCGCUGGCGAGUCUUCUUCUCUGAUAAUUGAGAAUUUCAAACAUGAUUUUGUUCAGACUGGAAAUGUAACCACGGAUGAGUGCAUGGGAUGGACAAAUGAGAAGCACAAUGCAUUUCUGGAUUGUCUUGAAACAUCAUUUGUUAAGCAGUUGCACAGAUCAAUGAUCUUGCGUGCUGGCUGUGUGGAACUGAACAGGAGUUCCAGAAAUUUGUCUAAAAAGCUGUUCAACAAUGAUAUAGCUAAAAAGCAGUUCACUGCUUGGCGAGAUAAAAGUUGGAAGAUCAAUAUUGAGAGCGACCAACCUGAGCUAUUGAUCGGGCAGGGUGAUGAGUACCAUCACGUUGCGGAUCUCCAAUUGUGUUCUAGACUCUUUACCAAGGAAAAGCAAAGAAGAGAUAAGAGGACUUCAUCUCAUGGACUCGAAGAGAGAUCGAAUCUGCCCCUUCUCAUCCCUGCAGAACUUCUUAAAACAGUUGGCAGAAUUGCUGAAGGUUCAGGUCAGAAUUUU
rnacentral:misc_RNA from 1 species